AUGGUUGAAAGAAGGAAGAAGCCCCAGGUUCUGUCACCAUGGGGAAUGAAAAGAAGGAAAAAAACCCCUAAAUAUAGGGAAUGGCACAGAAAUGGUUUAAAGAAGGAAGAAGCCCCAGGUUCUGUCACCAUGGGGAAUGAAAAGAAGGCAAACCCCCGGGAUGCAGAGAAUGGCACAAAAAAUGGUUUAAAGAAGGAAGAAGCCCCAGGUUCUGUCACCAUGGGGAAUGAAAAGAAGGAAAAUCCUCCUGGAUGCAGAGAAUGGCACAAAAAAUGGUGGCAAGAAGGAAGAAGCCCCAGGUUGUGUCCCCACGGGCAAUGAAAAGAAGGCAAACCCCCUGGAUGCAGAGAAUGGCACAGAAAUGGUUUAAAGAAGGAAGAAGACACAGAUUCUGUCAGUCACCAUGGGGAGUGUAGAGGAGAAGGAAAACCCCUGGAUGCAGGGAAUGGCACAGAAAUGGCUGAAAGAAGGAAGAAGCCCCAGGUUGUGUCCCCACGGGCAAUGAAAAGAAGGCAAACCCCCUGGAUGCAGAGAAUGGCACAGAAAUGGUUUAAAGAAGGAAGAAGACACAGAUUCUGUCAGUCACCAUGGGGAGUGUAGAGGAGAAGGAAAACCCCUGGAUGCAGGGAAUGGCACAGAAAUGGCUGAAAGAAGGAAGAAGCCCCAGGUUGUGUCCCCACGGGCAAUGAAAUGAAGGCAAACCCCUGGAUGCAGACGCCCCCGGGCUGCAGCCUGCCCGGAAGGCAGCAGGGCUCCUGCGGGGCAGGAUUCCCGCAGCGUGACUGGGCUGGCCGCGACAGCAGCAGCCCCAGUGCCAUGGCAGCAGCGAUGUUUCUGAGUCAACAGCGAGCCCCGGGCUCCGAGCCCCGGGCCAGCUGCGGGUAACCCGAGCAGCAACCUCAGCCGCAGAAAUGUCACUGUCACUGCCCGGGGGGCCCAGCUGGGCUAUCUUUAGCCGGCCCCAAGUUAACCACAGCCUGGAGAGUGGCUGGGAGCUCCGAGGGUGAUCCUGGGCUAUUCUCAGCGCUCUGGGAUGGGCUGCAUCACCCUCGGGAGGUGCUGUCACUCUCUGCCCCAAGGGACCCCAGAGGUCACCUGGCCCCCCACCCACAGCAGGACCAUCCUGUUGGAGCCCUGCAAAAUGAGAAUUUGACACUUUCUGUGCUGACAGGCACUGACCCCCCCCCAAGGAAAACACUGCAUUUGACCUGAGCCCGUGGAGUAGUCUUCCAAAAUUGAAUGAUAGAAUUAGGAUCACGGGUGGGGAGUUUGAAUAGAAGUGUGUAAUAUCGCAGGGUGAAAAUUUUAGAAUUUAAGGUCUUAGAAUGUAGUAAUAUACAGAAAGCAAGAAGAAGGUUUUAGGGCAGAGGUUUCCUUCUUCUUCACCUUCUUCUUCAUGGGUCUGGGUGGUGCUUUUGUGAUUGAAUAGAAAAUUCCACAUUGUGGGUCAUGGGUGGGUGGUUAUUGGGCUAAAAGUAAAAAUUAUUUAGGUGUUUGUUCUUAAUUGGAUCAUUAGGCCUUAAAAGACCUUGUAAGGAGACAGAUAGCACUCCAUUUUUAGCUUGUCAGCUUGAAGUGCUGUUGAACUCAUGGUUUGUAACAUAGAUAAGAACUAAUAAACAUCUAAGUCCCAACAAGAAUUACCACCUCUCGUGCAUUCAAUCCCGACCCUGGCAAAGAAAAAGAAGAUUUAAAAGAGCUGCACCAUCCCAGCUGAGCAGCAGCAGCAGGCUGGUGCUGGAGCAGCUGCAGGGACGCCCCAGAGCCUCCUGUCAGCAGCUGGGCACGCAGCUCUCCCCUGGGAGCCUGGGCUCCAGCCCUGCCAGCCCUGCCACGGGGAAUGCUGUGGGAAAUGUGCCCAGGUGCCCCCUGCACACCCAGCCACGGCUCCCCACGUCCCCCAGGGCCAGGCCACCCUCCA
ensembl:lncRNA